AUGGUUUGCUGGAAUGUGAGAGGGCUCAACAGCCCAGCGAAGAAGGAUGCGCUUAGGGAGCUCGCUGACUCGAUGAAAGUAGCUAUAUGGUGUAUUUUAGAGACUAAGGUCGUGCAUGUAGACACAUACAUUAUCAUGCAGUGCUUAGGGCCGGCUUAUGAUGGUUUUGUGUAUCUUCCUUCGUCUGAUACUCGUGGAGGCAUUUUUAUUGCUUGGACUCCUCGAAGGUGUCAAUAUCCAACACGGUGCUGGAUUCUAACUUCAUCAUGGGCUACGUUUCCCCUAGGGAGGGACAACCUUGGUGGCUAUCGGUCGUGUAUGGACCACAGGAGGAUGCACAAAAGAUUACCAUGA
rnacentral:rRNA from 1 species